GGGUUGUGAGGUUAAGCGACUAAGCGUACACGGUGGAUGCCCUGGCAGUCAGAGGCGAUGAAGGACGUGCUAAUCUGCGAAAAGCGUCGGUAAGGUGAUAUGAACCGUUAUAGCCGGCGAUGUCCGAAUGGGGAAACCCAGUGCAAUUCGUUGCACUAUCGUUAACUGAAUACAUAGGUUAACGAGGCGAACCGGGGGAACUGAAACAUCUAAGUACCCCGAGGAAAAGAAAUCAACCGAGAUUCCCCCAGUAGCGGCGAGCGAACGGGGAGCAGCCCAGAGUCUGAAUCAGCUUGUGUGUUAGUGGAACGGUCUGGAAAGUCCGACGGUACAGGGUGAUAGUCCCGUACACCAAAAUGCACAGGCUGUGAACUCGAAGAGUAGGGCGGGACACGUGGUAUCCUGUCUGAAUAUGGGGGGACCAUCCUCCAAGGCUAAAUACUCCUGACUGACCGAUAGUGAACCAGUACCGUGAGGGAAAGGCGAAAAGAACCCCGGCGAGGGGAGUGAAAAAGAACCUGAAACCGUGUACGUACAAGCAGUGGGAGCACCUUCGGGUGUGACUGCGUACCUUUUGUAUAAUGGGUCAGCGACUUAUAUUCUGUAGCAAGGUUAACCGUAUAGGGGAGCCGCAGGGAAACCGAGUCUUAACUGGGCGUUAAGUUGCAGGGUAUAGACCCGAAACCCGGUGAUCUAGCCAUGGGCAGGUUGAAGGUUGGGUAACACUAACUGGAGGACCGAACCGACUAAUGUUGAAAAAUUAGCGGAUGACUUGUGGCUGGGGGUGAAAGGCCAAUCAAACCGGGAGAUAGCUGGUUCUCCCCGAAAGCUAUUUAGGUAGCGCCUCGUGAACUCAUCUUCGGGGGUAGAGCACUGUUUCGGCUAGGGGGUCAUCCCGACUUACCAACCCGAUGCAAACUACGAAUACCGAAGAAUGUUAUCACGGGAGACACACGGCGGGUGCUAACGUCCGUCGUGAAGAGGGAAACAACCCAGACCGCCAGCUAAGGUCCCAAAGUCAUGGUUAAGUGGGAAACGAUGUGGGAAGGCACAGACAGCCAGGAUGUUGGCUUAGAAGCAGCCAUCAUUUAAAGAAAGCGUAAUAGCUCACUGGUCGAGUCGGCCUGCGCGGAAGAUGUAACGGGGCUAAACCAUGCACCGAAGCUGCGGCAGCGACACUAUGUGUUGUUGGGUAGGGGAGCGUUCUGUAAGCCUGCGAAGGUGUGCUGUGAGGCAUGCUGGAGGUAUCAGAAGUGCGAAUGCUGACAUAAGUAACGAUAAAGCGGGUGAAAAGCCCGCUCGCCGGAAGACCAAGGGUUCCUGUCCAACGUUAAUCGGGGCAGGGUGAGUCGACCCCUAAGGCGAGGCCGAAAGGCGUAGUCGAUGGGAAACAGGUUAAUAUUCCUGUACUUGGUGUUACUGCGAAGGGGGGACGGAGAAGGCUAUGUUAGCCGGGCGACGGUUGUCCCGGUUUAAGCAUGUAGGCUGAUUGUCCAGGCAAAUCCGGAUAAUCAAGGCUGAGGUGUGAUGACGAGGCACUACGGUGCUGAAGUAACAAAUGCCCUGCUUCCAGGAAAAGCCUCUAAGCAUCAGGUAACAUCAAAUCGUACCCCAAACCGACACAGGUGGUCAGGUAGAGAAUACCAAGGCGCUUGAGAGAACUCGGGUGAAGGAACUAGGCAAAAUGGUGCCGUAACUUCGGGAGAAGGCACGCUGGUGUGUAGGUGAAGUCCCUGCGGAUGGAGCUGAGACCAGUCGAAGAUACCAGCUGGCUGCAACUGUUUAUUAAAAACACAGCACUGUGCAAACACGAAAGUGGACGUAUACGGUGUGACGCCUGCCCGGUGCCGGAAGGUUAAUUGAUGGGGUUAUCCGUAAGGAGAAGCUCUUGAUCGAAGCCCCGGUAAACGGCGGCCGUAACUAUAACGGUCCUAAGGUAGCGAAAUUCCUUGUCGGGUAAGUUCCGACCUGCACGAAUGGCGUAAUGAUGGCCAGGCUGUCUCCACCCGAGACUCAGUGAAAUUGAACUCGCUGUGAAGAUGCAGUGUACCCGCGGCAAGACGGAAAGACCCCGUGAACCUUUACUAUAGCUUGACACUGAACAUUGAGCCUUGAUGUGUAGGAUAGGUGGGAGGCUUUGAAGCGUGGACGCCAGUCUGCGUGGAGCCAACCUUGAAAUACCACCCUUUAAUGUUUGAUGUUCUAACGUUGGCCCCUGACCGGGGUUGCGGACAGUGUCUGGUGGGUAGUUUGACUGGGGCGGUCUCCUCCCAAAGCGUAACGGAGGAGCACGAAGGUUAGCUAAUCCUGGUCGGACAUCAGGAGGUUAGUGCAAUGGCAUAAGCUAGCUUGACUGCGAGCGUGACGGCGCGAGCAGGUGCGAAAGCAGGUCAUAGUGAUCCGGUGGUUCUGAAUGGAAGGGCCAUCGCUCAACGGAUAAAAGGUACUCCGGGGAUAACAGGCUGAUACCGCCCAAGAGUUCAUAUCGACGGCGGUGUUUGGCACCUCGAUGUCGGCUCAUCACAUCCUGGGGCUGAAGUAGGUCCCAAGGGUAUGGCUGUUCGCCAUUUAAAGUGGUACGCGAGCUGGGUUUAGAACGUCGUGAGACAGUUCGGUCCCUAUCUGCCGUGGGCGCUGGAGAAUUGAGGGGGGCUGCUCCUAGUACGAGAGGACCGGAGUGGACGCAUCACUGGUGUUCGGGUUGUCAUGCCAAUGGCACUGCCCGGUAGCUAAAUGCGGAAGAGAUAAGUGCUGAAAGCAUCUAAGCACGAAACUUGCCCCGAGAUGAGUUCUCCCUGAGACUUUAAGUCUCCUGAAGGAACGUUGAAGACGACGACGUUGAUAGGCCGGGUGUGUAAGCGCAGCGAUGCGUUGAGCUAACCGGUACUAAUGAACCGUGAGGCUUAACCUUACAACGCCGAAG
rnacentral:rRNA from 1 species